CAAAGAGAAAGAUCAUUUUUUACAAAAUAAAUAAAUAAAUAAAAUAAAAUAAGAGGAAGAGAGUAACUUAGAGAAGAAGAAGUGGAAGCAAUUAAAGUUGGUGUGGAUGUAAUCUAGAGCGGAAGCAAAGUAAGCGGCGAUGGCAGUAGUGAGGGAGAGUUGGCGGCGACGGCAAAGGUCGCGGUGAGGGCGGCUGAGGUCGGCCAUUCCCUCUACUUUUGAGGAUAAGAGGGGAGAGGGAAAGAAAGAGAGAGAGAAAGAGGAUGGAUGGAAAUUAUGUUGUGGGUUUUGGGGAAAAAAAAUUGGUUUUGGAAAUUAUGUUGUGGGUUUUGGGGGAAAAUUGAGAUUUUUUUUUCUCUAGACCCAUAAGGCUCGAACAGGGAAAAGUUCUCGUGCGUGAACUCACUGACACGAGGCCCUAGAGUCGCAAUGUUAACAACAGAUGGUUAAAAGAGCCAACGCCCUAUACAUGCUUUAACAAAAAAACGAAGUUAUAGGCUGCUUUUUCUGUAGUGACUCAUUUUAACUU
rnacentral:lncRNA from 1 species